rnacentral:rRNA from 1 species
AAAAGUCGUAACAAGGUUUCCGUAGGUGAACCUGCGGAAGGAUCAUUAACGAAGAUACACUCUUCAAUUACACCCUGUGAACCGUCGCCCUUCGGGGCGCUCUAUACAAACUCUUGUAGUCAUAACGAAUGUCAUACCCGCGAAAGCGGUCAUAUAAAAAUAUAACUUUUAGCAACGGAUCUCUUGGCUCUCGCAUCGAUGAAGAACGCAGCGAAAUGCGAUAAGUAAUGUGAAUUGCAGAAUUCAGUGAAUCAUCGAAUCUUUGAACGCACCUUGCGCUCUCUGGUAUUCCGGAGAGCAUGCCUGUUUGAGCGCCUUAACAUGCUUGCGUUGCAGCUUUAUUGUUGCAAGGCAGAUUUGGGCAUUGCCGGCCUUGUCGGCUUGCCCUGAAUGCAUCAGCGGACGUGUAGCCUCGCUCGACGUGAUAAAUAUCUUCGUUGAAACGGGUUGUUACUCUGCUUUCGAACCGUCUUCGGACAACACNUAAUGNU